rnacentral:rRNA from 1 species
UACGUAGGGAGCAAGCGUUGUCCGGAAUCAUUGGGCGUAAAGCGCACGUAGGCGGCUUGGUAUGUCGGGUGUGAAAUCCCCGGGCUCAACCUGGGAACUGCAUCCGAAACUGCCUUGCUAGAGUAUGGGAGAGGGAAGUGGAAUUUCCGGUGUAGCGGUGAAAUGCGUAGAUAUCGGAAGGAACAUCAGUGGCGAAGGCGACUUCCUGGACCAAUACUGACGCUCAGGUGCGAAAGCGUGGGGAGCAAACAGG